GUUGACCCCCAUCUUAGAAGAUGCCAGAGUGGGGGGAUCAUUCUUAAUGUACUAGAAAACAUUUUUUUUUCCUAUUUCUGCCACACUUUGUGAUCACCAUGGAGACAGCAGGUCUCUCAAAGAAGAAAAUGAUCCUUUUUGUUCUCUCAACUUCCAUCAAAAACUCCUUGAAAUACAGCCCAGGGGAGGUCACAGCUUGAGACGAGCCGCGAAUGGUUCUUUGGCUGGCGCGCAGCAAUACACCUGCUGAGUUAUGAGCCUGAUGAAUCAUUUGCCUGGCUAUCUUGUUAGUCAUGCUGAACUGAAUGCUACUUUUCCAACCAAAGAGGUCCAAACCAGGACUCUUCCUUUGCUUUGGUCUUGGGUGCUACAUAACAGACUUACAUUUUCACUCAUCUACGGGCCUCUAAUAAUUGAGAAGAAGUCACUCAAGUGAGGAAGAUCUGUAGGUGCAUGAACUUGCUGGGAAUAUUAAGUGGUGAUACUCCGUGGAGCUCUGGAGACCUGAGUCCUUAGCAGUGAUUUAGGAAGACCCGUUGCAGAUGACUACAGUGAAAUUGGCUCCAGGCAUGAAUGCUAUAGAAAAACACAAGGACUGCACGGAUCAAAAGCCAGAUACAGACAUAGAAAUGAGAGUGCUUCAACAACAGUAGCCUAAACUGCUUUAGGAUACUCAUUGUGCCAUUAGAAGUCAGCCACCGCCAGUAGACAUUAGAUUUCCUGUAACUCAGUCAAGGACAUUUUGUAGCCAUAAUGGCCCAAGUCACAGGGGGAACUACUGGUCAAGAAGCUGUAAUUCUCCAAGUGAUCUCUGAACCUUAUUUAAUGCAGCAAACCACAGAAGGAGCUGAGCUAAACAGUGUCUGCAAGUUGGGAAGUAAUAACUUUCCUCAUCCCUUCCAGGUAACACAAGCUUCCUCAGUGUCCUCCUCAAAGGAUCUUGAAUCAAUGGGAAAGUCCUGAAAAACAUCUUAAGGGAACAUCACAGGAAGCAGGUGACCUGAAGACAGGAUUGUGAAUUUCUAGACCCACCCAUAUCUAAGUCUCAGUCAGGUA